rnacentral:rRNA from 1 species
GUAAGGAGUUUUCGGCAAUGGGGGAAACCCUGACCGAGCAACGCCGCGUGAGCGAUGACGGCCCUAUGGGUUGUAAAGCUCUGUUGUGAGGGACGAACUGUAAGCUUAGGAAAUGAAGCUUACUUGACGGUACCUUACCAGAAAGCCACGGCUAACUACGUGCCAGCAGCCGCGGUAAUACGUAGGUGGCAAGCGUUAUCCGGAAUUAUUGGGCGUAAAGAGUGAGCAGGCGGCAUGACAAGUCUGAAGUGAAAGCGUAAGGCUCAACCUUAUACAGCUUUAGAAACUAUCAAGCUAGAGUACGGGAGAGGUAAAUGGAAUUCCAUGUGUAGCGGUGAAAUGCGUAGAUAUAUGGAGGAACACCAGUGGCGAAGGCGGUUUACCAGCCCGAAACUGACGCUCAGUCACGAAAGCGUGGGUAGCAAAUAGCAUUAGAAACCCUAGUAGUCC